UAAAGCGUCAGUUUUGAUGGAAGUAAACCUCUGCAAACUAAUAUACGUAUAUGGUUUUUCUUCUAUGUGUGGAUCGUCAUAGUGCGCGUUUUUCCGCCGCCAUGAUCAUGAAGCAGGAGGAGGGGAAUGCAUUACGCACGCCGCCCUAAGAUGUUAGUGGGCGGGAGUGUGGGACUCCUUGGAUGAGUAGUGCAGAUCCAGGUAUGCCAUUAAACUCCUCCUCGGGCAUCAGCCCUCAAAGCUCAUUUAGUCCCCUCCGCGGUGUCCCCUUUCGGGAUUCCUGCACGGAGGGUCAGAGUACGAUAUCAGCACAACCAUAAGUAAAACAAGUCAUACCGACGACUAAUGUAGCUUGUCACACUUUACCGUGCUUGCGUUCUUACUCUUUUCGCGCAUCCAUAUGCCUGGUGCCCCAUCUGUAACACGUGGCGCGAUAUUUGACUUGCACUUUUCGCCCCAUAGGAUUCUCGUCCAGCGUAUUUGCAAACGACUUGAAACAACGAUCAUUUCUACAAUUAUUACAAUUUUCGCAAAACCGCAAGCUACAUUUUAGUAAUGAAAUGCUUUGUUUGAGACAGGUUAUGCACCGGAUUUUGAUUGAUCCGAGUUUCGUAGCAUGAUAAAAAAGACAAAAGUCUAAAUGGAUAUUAAUAUUAAAUUGGACGAACCUUUUGACGAAUGAAGUGAAGUGAUGCUUGUGUGAAACUAGUGAUUGAUCUUUUAAAAGACAUUGACACAAUUUAUACAUUAUUAUACACACAAUUAUACAUUAAAGUCAUUGACACAAUUGCCAAUUAAUAUGAAACCAACAGAUAGAAAUUCAUCUUCCAUAAAAGCAUUAUUGAAGUCUAUGAAGGCCACGUCAGAACAAUUGAGCUCAUAAUUUCAUCUUAACAGCAAAUGUACUUUUACUUUAGUAAAUAAUAUGCAUGUACAUAUCAAAGAAUUAUUCUCUGCAAUACACAUAUACUCUAUACAACAAUAAUAAAUACUGUAAUUUCUUCUUGACAUAACUCUUUUUAUUGUGUUAGAUGUAAGUAAUACAAUAUAAAGACUGUAAUACAAAUAAUAAUUAUAAAUCUUUUC